rnacentral:misc_RNA from 1 species
AAAAUGACGAUUCUGGGAGCUCCUGCUGUGGAGGAAGUUAUUAAGAAACACGAGGAAAUAGAAGCCAAAGCCGAGGCCGAGAAAAAGAAGGAAAAAUCCUAAACUCUUUGUUGUAAUAACUUGUUUGUGUUAAGACAAAAGGCUGGAAUGCUAAGAAUUCUUUCAGAGUUUCAUCAUUAAAAACUGUCAUAAACAUUAGUGCUGUUCUACAUUUUGUGAUGCAUAUAUCUACAUGAUCUUUGUCAUUCAUGAUUGAAUAAAAACUCUUCAAAUCUGC